GGGAGAAAGCAGGGGACCUUCGGGCCUUGCGCUAUCAGAUGAGCCUAGGUCGGAUUAGCUAGUUGGUGGGGUAAUGGCUCACCAAGGCGACGAUCCGUAACUGGUCUGAGAGGAUGAUCAGUCACACUGGAACUGAGACACGGUCCAGACUCCUACGGGAGGCAGCAGUGGGGAAUAUUGGACAAUGGGCGAAAGCCUGAUCCAGCCAUGCCGCGUGUGUGAAGAAGGUCUUCGGAUUGUAAAGCACUUUAAGUUGGGAGGAAGGGCAGUAAAUUAAUACUUUGCUGUUUUGACGUUACCGACAGAAUAAGCACCGGCUAACUCUGUGCCAGCAGCCGCGGUAAUACAGAGGGUGCAAGCGUUAAUCGGAAUUACUGGGCGUAAAGCGCGCGUAGGUGGUUCGUUAAGUUGGAUGUGAAAUCCCCGGGCUCAACCUGGGAACUGCAUUCAAAACUGACGAGCUAGAGUAUGGUAGAGGGUGGUGGAAUUUCCUGUGUAGCGGUGAAAUGCGUAGAUAUAGGAAGGAACACCAGUGGCGAAGGCGACCACCU
rnacentral:rRNA from 1 species